UCACAGCACGAAACUAAAUGAGGAAUGUUUCUUUUUUUAUAGUCUUUAAUCUACUUUCACUUGCUCUUUGCAACCUGAAUAAUAGUUUGUAUAAUUAACAGGAUCUGACACCCACAGUACCACAUUUUAAAAUGCUUCAGUCGCCUCUGAAAGAGCACAGGAACCAUUUGUUAAUGACAGGAACUAGGCUUCGGCUUUGUUGGGUGAGAGGGAGGGGAAAAAAUCUGAUUCUCAUCAGGGGCAUGAAGCAGCUCGCCUCCUCUCCUCUCCUCUCCUCUCCUCCCCUCUGGCCUCCUGACAGGCAGCAGCGCAGCAACGGCUCAGACUUCACCAGAAAUGACAGAGCAGAUUUCAUCCUGCCGGGGUGAAGCAGAGCGAGCUAAAACUGCUUGCUUCAGCUCACCGUGUUCGCCAUUCUUACCGUCUGCCAGUCUCCUUCUCUCCACCGGUACCGGGAGGGGCAGUCGGCCACCCGGCAGCUCUGGCUGGACGCCGGUCGGGAGCGCUGGGGACAGCCGCUCUCCAGCGCGCUGCGGCGGUCACCGAGCUGACAGAGGACCUCCCGGCGCUGGAUGCCGUCGCCGCAUGAUGCUGAACACUGAAAUCAGAGCGGAUGCUGUUCCUUCUGAACAACCUGCACUGCAUUCAUGUUAAUGUAAUUCUGUUGGAUGACAUUUUAACGAUGUAAUAACAGCAAAGGAAGCAUUUUUGCGGUACACUGUGACAAAGAGUAAGAUGUACUGUUUGUUUCCGUGUCAUGGUUUUAAAGAUUUGGACAUGAAUGUAUACAAGCACAUUGUCUGCUACAUAUGUAGUUACAUGUUCAUUCACAACCUAAAGCCUUUGGACCCUGAAUCAGCUUGAUGCACUGGACUGGACUUUACUAAGAGCUUUGAGUUGAGUAUCAUUCUCUCCUGGCACGCAUCCUGCUCUACAGCUGUUUAGAUCAGACAUCCUCUCUGACGUAUGGAGCGCAGAUGUGUCUCGGACUGGUGGAGUGAAUCCAGAGAAAGAGGACAGGAGAGGAGAGAGAGGGGAAAAGAAACGUAGAGGACAAAGUGAGGGAAAGAAAACGGGAACAAGCACAUGGCAAGUUUUGUGGCUGCCCAGGUGCACUUAGUGACUUUUUCUGGCAGGAUGAAAUACCUUUAGCAGGGCAUUCAACGAAAAGACCAACAUGUGGUUCCCAUCGGGGAGGCAGAAGAUAGUGGUAAAAAAAAAGAAGGGGAAAGCGGGCUGGGAAGAAAAAGUGUUCUUUGGGGGAAUUCAACAGUGAGAGAGGAUAAAAGGCACAGAGAGGAGAGGAAGGUGAGUGCCAAAGGAAGAGAAUAUAUAGAAGUUGAGUAGGGUAGAUUUUCACUGGCUGUACUUCAGAUCAAAAAGCAGAGUGCACAUCCCGCCUGCUGUCCAGCUCAGUGCAUUAUAAUGUUACACCCUCAGAGCUCACCACGUCAAACUGUCUAUCUGCUGCCACCCCAGGCCUGUGCUGCACCCCGACACACCAUCAUGUGAUGUGUAAGACACCCUGCCUCAGUUAGAGGCUUAGCAUGCUGCAUAAAUACAGUCAGGUUCAGCUGCACAUGUUUCACACAUAAGGACAUAGUUGCCAGCAAGCUGGUAAGCAUUAAAGUAGAAAGAGAGAGGAAAAAAAAAAAGCCGACAUGUCUGGCAGCGUGAGAACAGAAAAUUGAGGAGUGUUUUAUGGCAAGGUCAGAGCGUCCUACCUCUCCCCAGUUUCCAGUCUUCCACUUGGGGCAUCGUCCACCUCGGCAGCGCCUCUGCUUGCUAGGUCUGGGGGACAGGUGCUGGCAGUUUUCUUCUGGGACGGGACGACCUGACUUGGUCACACAACUCACCUUACGGGACUUGACACCUCUUCCACAGGCGGCCGAGCACUGCAAAGGAAAGAAAAGGAGGUAAUUAGAAAUCAAAAGUUAGAUUUUGUAAAAGUAUGAAAAGUGCAUGCUCCGAAUUGAGAAAAUUCUGAUGUGUCUGGAUGAGGGUUAAUAUACUGCAUAUCAGAUUCAUCAUAAACUGCAUCUGCAUGACAAUAAAAAGCAGGUGUAAUUAAAAACAUGGUUAGUAACUCAUUAAAUGGUGAAUCUCUGUUUUUUUUCCCCUGAUAAAAAAAACGUGAACAUUUGUGACCCAGUUACGUAUCAGCAGCCUGACCAAUAGCAAAGCGUGCCCAGUCACCCCGGCAGCAGUUUGUUUCACCUCCGGGUUCACCGAGUUACGGAAAGUCUAACGCAGUGUGACAGGCAGACACACACACAGCAGUGUUACAAGAGGGAGUGGAGCAGGGCCAGACUGUGCUCAGAUAAUCAAAGGGGGCGUUGCAUACGGGGAUGGAUGGGAAGCGACAGGCUCAGAGUUGAACGAGUGCGUGGCCCAGCGUGUGGUUCUGUCCUGAUCAGCAAGGGACUGUACUGGACAGGAACAUGCUGUGACCUCUCACCUCAUUCUGGGAGGACGAAAGGUAGGAGGGCUAGUGGAAGAAAGGGACGACUACAAUCCUCUUUAUAAACACAGGCGACUCUCACAUCCCAAUUUCAUCUGUUGUGCGGUGGAUUUAUUGGAACUGUGUCAUUAGUAGGUCAUUCAUUCAAUCAGUAGGGGUGAGAUUCAGUUCAGUUUUUCACCAAGAGGUAGAAAAUGAGCCCUAGCGACUUUGUAUGAUUGCUUUGAAGAUAUUGUGCUUGAAUUUGAAUAAAAAUGAAAUGAACUGUG